UGCAGAAUCCCGUGAACCAUCGAGUCUUUGAACGCAAGUUGCGCCCGAAGCCAUUAGGCCGAGGGCACGCCUGCCUGGGCGUCACAC
rnacentral:rRNA from 4 species